GUGCUUGCUUUGGCAGCAUGUAUACUAACAUUGGAACGAUACAGAGAUUAUCAUAGCCCCUGUGCAAGGAUGACACACAAAUUUGUGAAGCGUUCCAUAUUUUU
ensembl:snRNA U6 U6 spliceosomal RNA